UACGGGGGGGGGCAAGCGUUGUUCGGAAUUACUGGGCGUAAAGGGCUCGUAGGCGGCCAACUAAGUCGGACGUGAAAUCCCUCGGCUUAACCGGGGAACUGCGUCCGAUACUGGAUGGCUUGAGAUUGGGAGAGGGAUGCGGAAUUCCAGGUGUAGCGGUGAAAUGCGUAGAUAUCUGGAGGAACACCAGCGGCGAAGGCGGUGCUCUGGGCCGGAACUGACACUGAGGAGCGAAAGCGUGGGUAGCAAACAGG
rnacentral:rRNA from 1 species